rnacentral:rRNA from 1 species
UGUGUAUCAGUACAUGGCAUAUCAAUAAGCGGAGGAAAAGAAACUAACUAGGAUUCCCUCAGUAACGGCGAGUGAAGCGGGAAGAGCUCAAAUUUGAAAUCUUCAAGGUUCUACCUUGACGAAUUGUAGUUUAAAGAAGUGUUUUCUGUUGGAGUUUUGGUAAAAGUUCUUUGGAAUAGGACAUCAUAGAGGGUGAGAAUCCCGUAUUUGACCAUUAUUUCCAACUUUGUGAUACACUUUCAAAGAGUCGGAUUGUUUGGGAAUGCAGUCCAAAAUGGGUGGUAAAUUUCAUCUAAAGCUAAAUACUGGCGAGAGACCGAUAGCGAACAAGUACCGUGAGGGAAAGAUGAAAAGAACUUUGAAAAGAGAGUUAAACAGUACGUGAAAUUGUCAAAAGGGAAGCGUUUGACACCAGUGUUGUUUUCUCGAAAAUCAAUUAAAAAUGGUGGGAUGUUGUGUUGUAUUGACUUUAUCAGCUUUCUGCACUUUUUUUCCUAUCUUUUUUAAUGCACUUUCCGUUUAACAAGUCAACAUCAAUUUCUUUUGUUGUAAAAGAGUCAUUGGAAGGUGGCUUUCUUUUCGGAGAAAGUGUUUAUAGCCUUUGGCUUCUGCAAUCGGAGAGAUUGAGGUCUGCAGCGUAGAUCCUUCGGGGUUAGAUGCAUUUGUGCUAAGUUAUAGCCUUUCAUAGACAACUUGUUGACUAUGAUCAGUCAUGUAGCUUACUCGCUUAUGUCAUUUUACCUACGCUUAGGAUGUUGACAGCAGUAUAGACUGU